rnacentral:rRNA from 1 species
UAGUCAUAUGCUUGUCCUAAAGAUUAAGCCAUGCAUGUGUACGUUCAAGCCCUUGUACGGUGAAACUGCGGAUGGCUCAUUAUAUCAGUGAUAAUUUGGUUGGUGGAGAAUGCUGUGGAUAACCGUGGUAAUUCUAGAGCUAAUGCAUGCAGAUCAGACGCAAGUCUGGCAUUUAUUAGAUAAAGCCUUGGCAAGGGACAACUCGUUCCCUGCGCAGGUGAGUAAUGAUAACUGGGCGGAUCGCAGAAUACUGCGACGCACCAAGGAAAUUUCUGCCCUAUCAACUGUGGAUGGUAGGAUAGGGGCCUACCAUGGUGGCGACGGGUGACGGGGAAUCAGGGUUCGAUUCCGGAGAGGGAGCCUGGGAGAUGGCUACCACUUCCAAGGAAGGCAGCAGGCGCGCAAAUUACCCAAUCCCGAGGCGGGGAGGUAGUGACAGGACAUGACGGGGCGGGGCGCACAGCGCCCUGCGACUGGGUUGAGGAAAAGAUAAAGCGAAUGACGAGAAACGAUU